GCAGAGUGGCAGCUGACACGGAGAAAGAAACCGAGGGAGAACGAGAGGGAAGGAAAAUAUAAAAGAUAAAUAAGGCGAAAUUUAAAGGACCGAGGGAGGGAGAGAGAGAAAUACAGGAGAGAAAGAGAGAGAGCGGGUGUGUGCGUGAGAGAGAGCGAGAGAGAGAGGGAGAAUAGCCGGCCCAUUGGAAAAAGAUGGCUACAGUCACUACGAACGGAGUGCAGCAGGAGAAUGGCUUCAGCACCACGAACAGCUCCGGCAGGAUGAACGGGCUGAGCAUCGGGCAGAGCACCAUUCCCAUGAAAGACCACGAUGCCAUCAAGCUCUUUAUCGGGCAGAUCCCUAGAAACCUGGAGGAGAAAGAUCUUAAGCCCCUGUUUGAGGAAUUCGGCAAGAUCUAUGAACUCACCGUGCUGAAAGACAGGUUCACGGGAAUGCAUAAAGGAUGUGCCUUUCUAACAUACUGUGCCAGAGAGUCUGCACUGAAAGCUCAGAGUGCUUUGCAUGAGCAGAAGACUCUGCCAGGGAUGAACCGGCCAAUCCAGGUGAAACCAGCAGACAGUGAAGGACGAGGAGAAGACAGGAAGCUGUUUGUGGGAAUGCUGGGGAAGCAGCAGAGCGAGGAGGACGUGCGGCGUCUGUUUGAGCCCUUCGGCCAGAUCGAAGAGUGCACUAUCCUGAGAGGGCCUGAUGGGGCCAGUAAGGGCUGUGCCUUUGUCAAGUUCUCCAGUCAUGCAGAAGCACAGGCAGCCAUCAACAAUCUCCACGGCGGCCAGACUAUGCCGGGGGCAUCCUCAAGCCUGGUGGUGAAGUUUGCAGACACAGACAAGGAGCGGACUCUGCGGAGAAUGCACCAGAUGGCAGGGCAGCUUGGGAUAUUCAGCCCCAUGACCAUUCAGUUUGGAGCCUAUGGAGCUUACACUCACGCUGUAAGUGAUAUUUCUCCUUGGCAGCAGAUCAUGCAGCAGCAGGCAGCACUCAUGGCAGCAGCCCAGGGUUCCUAUCUCAACCCCAUGGCAGCGAUUGCUGCAGCUCAGAUGCAGCAAAUGGCAGCUUUCAACGUCAAUGGCCUGGUGGCAGCUCCCAUGACACCUUCCUCAGGCACCAGCACUCCUCCAGGCAUUAGUGCCACAGCCGUGCCUAGCAUAGCCACACCCAUUGGGGUCAAUGGCUUUAGCACUCUGCCACCCCAGAGCAAUGGGCAGCCUGCAUCCGAGCCCAUCUAUACCAACGGGAUUCACCCUUAUCCAGCACAAAGUCCCACUGUGGCUGACCCUCUGCAGCAGGCUUACGCUGGUGUGCAGCAUUAUGCAGCAGCCUACCCAACAGCCUAUGCGCCAAUCAGUCAAGCGUUUCCACAGCAACCAGCCAUCAUUCCACAGCAACAGAGAGAAGGACCUGAGGGCUGCAACCUGUUUAUUUAUCACCUGCCCCAGGAGUUUGGGGAUGCUGAGCUCAUGCAAAUGUUUCUGCCAUUUGGCAAUGUCAUCUCUGCCAAAGUCUUUGUGGAUAGGGCCACCAAUCAGAGCAAAUGCUUCGGUUUUGUCAGCUUUGAUAAUCCUUCAAGCGCUCAGGCCGCCAUCCAGGCUAUGAACGGUUUUCAAAUAGGCAUGAAGAGGCUGAAAGUGCAACUCAAGCGGCCAAAGGACGCCAACCGACCUUACUGACCCCUCUUCCAUCCAGACCAGGCAGGGCCAAUCAUAGCUCAAGAUGGCCUUCCCGUUGUCUAGCAACCCUACCAGUCAUGGGGGACAAACUCCCAGACCUGAUGAAGGGCCACAAACUCUUACUUCCACAAGUGCAGUAUCAGUACAAAGACUUCUUGCUCUGCUACAUAUCAUGAGAGAAGGGGGGUCCCUUGUUCAUUUGGGAAUGAAACCGAGAGAUUGAGCAACUAAGAAAAGGAGCCUAGAGUUUUGUUUUUGUUUUUUGUUUUUCAAAAUUCUCCUCUUUUUUUUCUUUUCUGCUUUUGCAAUGUGGAAGAGGAUUUGCUGAGACCAAGAUUUUGCUGCUCUUUUUUGAAACAUUUGAAACCGUUCUAAACAUGUAUACUGGAAACACGUGCAAGCAGACAUAGUACAGACACACACAGACAUACACAGACACACUCUAGCCAGCUGGCUUUUAGGUUUUUGUGCCUAGACAGGUGUUUGGACAUGCCUCGUUUCAGGGCCCAAGGACAAGCCCUGAAAAGACUGGAUAUGUGGGCGAGGAGAAUCCAGGAUUAUUAACACGCAUCAUUCCUUAGAAAAUAGGGACCAAAGGACUAAAUGCUUUUUUAAAAAAAUAUUUAAAAAAAAACUCUUACCUUGUAGCUGCGAGUAUUACGAUUUAAUAGUAGUUAAAAAGUCAUUUAAACAAUAUCCAGUGGCCUAAGUCUACAAAAAGAAAGUGACUGAAAAUAAUUUGUUCUGGUAGCCAUUUUGCUGUACCAGGUAGUUUAGAACAGUAGAUUAGAAAGUUAAACUUGCAGAUUGCUGGCCUUUUUAAAACUAUGAUUUCUUCAACUGUUAAAAAGAAAAAGUAUCUUUACAUUUUUUCGCUGUCCUGGUUAGCGGUGAGUUUAUGUUUAGGGUGUAAAAAAAACGCCACUGGAUAACUUUCUACUCAUGGCAUUGUACAUUUCAUCUCGAUUAUCUGACAAAAAUAAAUGGAACUGUGUAAAAAAAUCCUAAAAAGGAAAAAAAAAAAUCAAAUGUUGCCUAUGCUGGGCAGGGUGCGGAUUUUGGGGGCUUCCAAAAAGCCCUUGUGUUCAAGCGACAAUCUACAUGAAGAGACCAAGUGAAAUGGACAUGUUUUAAUUUUUUUUUGCACUGCUACAGAAAGUAUGCAGACACAAGCUUAUCAUUUUUAAACAGAUUCUGUAACGAUGAAGGACUGAGGACUGAUGUAGGGGUGUCUUGAUAGCUAAUGAAACUGCCAAAAGAACACACAAAAAUUGGCCGUUGUCACUUUUCAUGAGACUUGGCUUAAUGAAGCAAAAGCAGGAUUUUUUGGCUACCAAAGGCAGAGCGAUCCAUUUAUGUGUGGCCAUUUUGAUUUUCUAGGCUGUGGUAUGAGGCUGCUGGUCAGGAUUCAGAGGGUUUUGUCAAUUUCAGAGCUCAGCAUAUCUAUCUGUUUUUACAGUAUGAUGCUGGCUCAUGCUAGCAAAAUGCAAGAUGAAAGUUGAAUCUUUUCCAGAAUGAUAAUUUGAUCUAUUAUACCCAUCAAGCUCAUAAAAUCCGGAAAAAAAAGGUCUAAGUACCUCUUAAUAACCUGUAAAAAAGAAAGGGGGUGGGGUAAGUGCUUUCGAAACUAUUUCUGUAUCCCUAAGAACAAGAUUUUACUGCCUAAGACUAUGGGCAAGAGGCAGAUUUACAAACUUAAUUUAAAUUUGUUUCCUUGGUGACAAGGCAAUUUAGUCUAAAAAGUUGAAGGGUUCUAGAUAUAAAUCUGAAAACAUUUACUAUUUAAUAUAUUUAAUAUAAUAUUUUUCCAAAAUUUUUCAAGGUGAUUAUUGAAUGCCUAUUUAUUAAAAGAAAGAGACAAUUAUACAGUUUGUUAAAAACAGGGGCCAGAUGCUCCUUUAAGGCACUUUAUCUACUUCUAUUCUUUCAAAGUGAUGCUUCCAAAAUGUGCCAAAUAUUGUCCUUGGGAAGUCAAUUUUGUAAUGUGGCUUGAAAUCUAAACUGAAAAUAUCCAAAGUAUUUCUAUAAAUUUGAGCUGUUAUGGUGGUCAUAAUGAUCAAAGCUUUUUACAUUUCCAAAUUUGAGAGGCAUGAAAAAAAAAUUAGUGGCAUUUGUUUUAUUUUUUAAAUACUAUAGUACUAUAAUGCCAAAUUAAAAACCUGGAAAUGUUUUCCCAAUCUUUUAAGUACACAGCAAACAUAUGGAAACCACUUAUGAGUAUUAUGGAAUUGUGGUUUUUCCAUCAAUACGUUAAAAACAUAAUUGAAAUAUGAGCAUGUGACACAUCUUCAUCCACAAGUGAGUGAUUCCAUUAGAAAUAGAAUCUUCUAAGCAUUAUUUUAAAACAUCUAUUAUUGCGAAAUUAUUUUUACUAAAACUUUCAAAUUGCAACUUUUUUCUUGAUUCAUUAUAGAUGGACUAAAUGGAAUUUAAUAUAUUAAUUAUUCAAGCAGUUUAUAACAAAAUUACAAUUGUACCUGUAGUUGAUAUGGCAUAGAAAUACUGCAAUACUAGUAGUAUACUACUACAAUAAAGUGAUCUGAAUGUCUGGACACUAGCCCCAAACUUUAGCUUUUUAUAAUCACUGACACUCUUAAGCAGGUUUUUGAAUUUUUCCCAAGAAUGUUCUAUAACAGGCAUUCCCAAACCUAGUCCUGGAGAAACCCCAACGCUUGACAGAUACAAACACAGCUGCUGUUUUGUUGUUCCAGCUGAGCUGCAUUAUAUAAUUGUACCCUUAACUUGCUUAAGUUAAUAUCUCAACGAACACAAGCUUUAGCUUUUGAGCAGAAAAAAGGUUGCAAAGGUUACAAUUAAGAAACUAGUUCAAAUAAGGAUUCAAUGACAUACAGAGGCUGGCUAGACUAAGAAACAGCAGGCAGACAAGAGUUAUGAUACCCGGCACUAUAAGUAAUGAGUUGCAUAAAAAGCCAUGUGUGGGAUAGCUUGAUUUGUUAUCAAAUGCCCCCAGUGCCAAAAAGUACAUGUUUUUUUUUACGAUCUGAGAAAUGAGAUAAAGAAGGGCAGCCAACUUCACAUGGCAGCCACUGGACACCAACACUGAACUGUUAAACUAUGUAUACAGCUGGAAAGGGUGAUGGAACUAGAAACAAGCUGUAAAAAUUAAGCAGUGGAAGUAGGAAUUUAGUUUAAGCAGAUGUCAAUAACCAAUGGUAGUUAUGUUUUUUGAAUUCUACAUAAAGAGUACUGCCCUUUGUUUAAGCUUAAGCCUCACCUUUCUUAAAGGGGUGCCUUCAAAGACAUCCUAGGACCAAACUGCUGGCAUUUUAAAAAGCUCAUGUGCAGCCUUAGUUUUUUUGCUGAAACAAAUGCAUGAUGCUGACAGUGCCUUGGGGAUGGCACUAGUGAGGUAAUAGAAAAUCAAUUGGUUUAUAUUGGACACCUGCUGCCUUAUAGCUACAGAGCCUGCUCUUGUCUUCUUUCCAAAGCUAAACAGACACAUUCUCACCUGCCACAGCAAUGUACGACUGCUCAACCAUGCACCCAAACAGCACCUUGAAGUGUAUAUUCAUUGUGCUACAAAAACAUUGAUUAAAACAAGUACUUGAAUUGCUGCUUAAGGAAAGUGUUGCGCCAUGUUUUUCCUCUAAAAGCCUUGAAUUAUUUUUUUCUGAUUAAUGUAUCUUUUCUCAUUUAUAUACUGUAUAUAUAUUUAACUGGAUUGGUUGCUUUCUUAUUUAGUUAAUACUAACAAUUUAAGGCCCCUUUAUUUUGGUUAACUCUUUUCUGCCUGAUAAGUUUCUAUCAGUAUUUGUCUUAAUAUAAUCUGCAUCAGACCCCACCCUGCACUUCAAAAGGGAAUCUCUUUCUGUGGCCCAUCAUCUGCCUGGAUGCACAUCAAACAGCUGUGCAAGCAGUGAUGUCCAACAGCUGCUUUGCCUCAAACCCAGGAGAAUUGAGAUGGAGUGCAUAGUGCCAUAUUAGUCUAAUGAGUUGGAUUGAAUCUAAGGACAAGGGAGAAAUAUAUGGGGUAGUUCUUAAUAAAUCACAAAAUACUAUCAACAAUAACAUGUCUGUAUAAAGGUACACAGGGUUAUGAACCCAAGUAUAAUUUUUAGUAUAAGUAUAAGGUAUAAGUAUAAGUAUAAGGUUUUGUGUGGAGAUGUGGCGCAACAAUCUCUUUAAAAGCUUAUGUUAUAGAUAGCCUUUAUAAAAAAAAAUAUUUUCCUGUGGUAAAAACAUUGCAAAAAGUAGAAAAUCUGUUAAAGCACAGAGUAUUGUAAAGCAUGGACAAAACUAUACCAAGUAAUGGUAAAGCACAGUUAUUCUUCAAAUUAAGGAGGUCUGGAAUACAAAAUUACAGUACUCAGCAAGAAAACCUUCACGUAACUUCAGAAGAAAGAUGUCUAUCUUGUGUUAUGUCCCUCUUACUGUUUUAUCUGUGUCUUUUCAGUUUCCAAAAGUGAAAAUGAUAUUUCAAUUUGAAUAAAUGCUUUAUUUGCACUCAUCAGGAGUCUAUCCAUAGAGCACAGUUCACUAAGAACCUUAAGGACAAUGUCUGCCCCUGAAAUAGGCAUUCCACUGAGCCACAGAUCUGAUUUAGUGGCUCAGAACACCAAAUUAUAUUGACCAUUUGCAUAAGAGAGCUGUUUGCCAUAAAGGCAUUAUGAAAAUGAGGAUAGGUAUUAUGAUUAUUGAAAAACCAUUUGUUAAGAACUGUUCUCUGAAGGUAGACAUGAGAUUGUUUUUAAUAGGCUGCAAUCAAGUGUUUUAAAGAAAGUGUUAAGUUUAAGAUAUCUAUGGACAAUAUAAAAAAAUCUAAUUUAUCUUUUAUUAUACCUGCUUCUCUGCACAUAAAAAUGUUGUACCAGUAUGGUGCAGCUCUCCGUGUUUUUAUGCUGUAUUCAGGGUAUCAAAUAGUUGCUGCAAACUUCUAGGUUGUGUUUGUAAAUGGCAGAUCUUUACCAUCUUAGUCCAGGACACUGUUCUACUAUGGUGUGUUUCCAUUUGGCUGUGCCUGUGAGUCUGAGUCAUGGAGUUGUGUCCAUUGACAUUUAUCAGUGUGUGUAAAAAAAAAUUUUUUUUUACACAAGAUCAUAUAUUUUAGAAAAUGGAAAUUGAUAUGAUCCAAACUAACACCAUUUACAGUAAUUUGUUUUUUAAAAAGAUAUUUAAGAAGUAUACGCUGUCUGUUAAAGGUGUUCUAAUGAGUCUUAUUGACUCAUAACUACUAACGAGAAAUCAUGAACAUCAAACCUUAUAAAAUAUUUCUGCAGUAGCUUCCAUACAGCCAAAUUUUAGCAUGGUUUUAAUCUCCAUUUUGAGGAGACUGGAUUAUAAGAAUGAUAAAAAUGUUGUCUCCCAAAUCAACACCAUUUCAGAAGCCAAUGGAAAUGAGCCAUACUGGAACUGGUAAAUCUCUGUCAGCAUGUGUGCAAAUGCAGCUUACAAAGCUCACUUACAGGUGUAAUACUUAAUUUUAUGGGAUGUCACUCAAAAGACACUAUUGUAUGAUUUGGGCAAGAUCUGCUGUGCACCUAAAUAGAAGAUGUCUAUGGUUCUAAGAUCAUUGAUCUGCUCUUGAGGCUUAAACACAGUAUGAGAUUUGAUUAUGUGAUUGCUUUUCAGAUUUUUUGGAGUGACAUGUAACCAUAGGGGACAAGGUCAUGCAAGGCAAAAUACUCCGAAAGAGGCAGUCUAGUGCGUGCAUGCUGGGAUGCUAGAGAUUGAAAAUUAUUAGAGUGCUCUCCAUUUUCUUUCUAUUUCAAUAUGCUAACAGAUGACGUCCAUUAACAGAUGAAACAUAAGUGGGUAAAAUGAUCUUUAGGAAGUGCUGCUGUUGUGGCAAAUUUAAGGUAAAGACAAAACUGGCAUGGUUAAGCAAAAUUAAUUUGAUUGGAAUUUUAGUUAUGACUGACGCAAUGAGUUCUGAUGUCCCACUGAAAUAAUGCAUUUGUAAUUAAUUUAAAGGUAAAUAUACUACCUAAAUGCAGGAAAUAUAAACACCUAGAAUACAUAGCUAUAUGAAACCGGAUGUAGUGUAAAUUCAUACAUUCUGUAGAGUGUCUUAUAAAGUAGUGCAUAAACGGCCUAGGUAGCACUUUUUUAAAUAAAACAAGCAGGGAGCAAUAAAAAUUGGAAUACUUGGAUACUUAAAUGACACUAUUCAUUAAAUUGAGAAAAAUAAUGUUCCCUGUAGCACACUUGGUGAUACUUUGUCUCCACUAUUUCUCCACACAGGUCUGUCAUAUCCUCAUUUUUAGAAAGUGCCAAUGAAUUUAUCUUGUUUAUCUCAGUGUUUCAAGCAGGCCUGAUGAAUAUGUUCCCAGUUGCUAUAACAACUCAGUGAAUUUGUUUUCUAUGUACAAAUUGUCUAAGCGCCUGUUCAGUUAAGAAACCUGCAUUUUAAUGUACCAGCAUCCCAUAUUCCAGUUAUGAAUAUUACCCAAGUAGUGUGUGCAAAUGUUAUCAUAGAUAACUGCUUAAAAAUACUGGUUGUUUUUGUUUAGUCACUGGUUUACUUUUGCUACAUAUGUCAAGGAAGGCAGCUUUCAUUAAACAAUCUUAUCAACUAAAUCACUUGUAGCGGUCCCAGCCUUAUAAAUGUAUUUAAGAAUGCUUACUCCUGCUUUGCCUACAUGAGUAUUGGUGUUGUUAAAUGCCAUUCAAAGCAUCUGGCAAUCUUUACUUUGUCCUAUUAGGAAAUUAUAACACUUGUUAAUUCAUGCAUCAUUCACUUGUUCAGACUGCAACACCAGCUAAUUAUUUAAAAAAAGUGUUACAUGUUGGGAUACAUGGAAUAGCAGACUGAAAAUUAAAAAAUUGUAGAUGAAAAUGUCUGUCCCCCUUCAGGAAAAUUGUAAGGCUGUCAAGUCAAGUGAGUUUGUUGUCUUACUGAAAGAGUAUUUGGCUCUUGCCAACCUGUGCAGUCUAUUCUAUUAAUCUAAAAGGUUUCAUAUUUAUUAAAGAGUGAUGUCACCCUUACUUCAUUCUAAAUUAGGCGCAUAAUUAAGAAUCUCAUUAUCCGUAAUUGUAAUUUUAUCAUAGUAACCACUGACCAAGAAUUAAGUUGUAUGUGCCAGACUCUUUAAUGAAAAGAAUGUUUCAAUAAAACAUCAGAGCAUUACUGAGGUGUUUUUAGGGCAAAUGCAAAUAUAAUGUUAAAUUCUUAAGAAAUAGAAAGCAAAAAUUCUGGUCUGCCAUUUAAUGAGUAAAGCAUGGACAAAAUGCCAUUUUAUUAAUGCCAUUUAUUUAUUUUAUUUUUUUAUUAUUUUCCCCUUAUUUUUUACUUUGGUAUUAAUAGCUGUGACAUUUGCAUAAAUUGCAUGACCAAAACUGUUUCUUUGCAGAUACAAUCUUGCGCAUAAGAGAGGAAUAUGGAUUAAGAUGUGAAUUUCUAAUGUGAUUGAGCAGGAAUUGCAGGAUGAUUCCUCAAAGCUGUUUUACCUCGAUGUAGAAUAAACUGGAAAGUAAAUGUCAAGGACUGGGAGGCAUGAUGUUAAAAUCUGAAAGUGUAAAUCUAAUUAAAGAAACCUUUGAGGUGGGAGGAAGAGAGGUAAAAUGAAGACUUUGCAAACAAUAAGACAUUUUGCCAGUAGUAUCAUUAGCACAUUUCAUUUAGAACAUUUACCAGUUCAUUCAGGAAUAGGGCUAGAAAAGCAAGAAACUAACUCGUACUGUUUUUUGUUCUUUAAAUGCAGGGUGUGGGGAGCGGAGAAGGGGGGUGUUAAUCUGAAACUCCACAAUUCUUCCGAUACUCAGGGUGUUAAUAAGCACGAUGAUGUCACGAUUAGUGGUGACUCUUUCAGAAAUCCAACCUCAGUUUCCUCAGAAAAGAAAGGGUGAUUUGCUGGGCCAGAAAGAUUCUGAAAAUCAUCUCAUUGCACCCUCUAAGUCUGGAUGAAACAGCUAGGGCUUCAGACAUACAGUAAAAUCACAUAAAACCUCAUCGAAAGGUAUAAAAGGUGACCAGAGUGAUCUGAAAGUGUUACGUCAGAGAUGUUACAUCUUCAGCUUUCAGCCUCAGAGGUAUUGAUCUUCUCCAGAAUGAUGGAGUGUGUCUGGACCUCUUUUAAUAGAAAGGCUUUGCAGUUCAGUAGAGUAGUCCAGUAACUUGCUUUGCUUCAUGGGACUGCAGUAACUCACAUUUUUUCACAUCAGGUUAUCAUUCUAUACAUCACAUAGUCAUAGGAUGGAGAGAAUACAAAAAUGCUGAUCUGACUUUUGAAGAAUUUGUUCCAAUUCUUACAGAAUUACAAAAUUUUAAAACAGAGGCAGGUUGCCAGCACUGUUAAUGGAGAACUGCUCUGAAAAGCUUACAAAUGUGGCAUACAGUGAUGUCAAUUUAAAUAUAGCCACAUUAAUACAGGCAUAGUGAGUGGGGAUGAAACAGGUGUGCUCUUGAACCUCAUUUUCUCAGUAACAAGGGGCUGUUUAUAAACAUUUACAAAUGUUUUAUAAAUGGAAUAUAGUAAUAGAGUAUUAGAAAAGUAAUAUAAAUGUGAUAAUAACCAAUCACUAUUGGAGAUUAAUUGCAUGUUAUUAAAAAAACCCUCAUCCUAAACAAAACCUGAAACAUCUCUGAAACAAAUCCUACCCUAGUAACCCUAGUUAUGGUACAGGUAUUUAAUAUUAUUUUAAAACUAUUUAUAACAUCCUUAAUAUCUUGUUAUAUUUUUUUAGACAGUAUUACUGUUACUUGGAAAUCUAGCAUAAGCUAAGUUCACUUAGUGGAUGGAAACAAAAGUAUCAUCAUUUUUAGUAUUUGUAAAUCCAUUAAAGGGAAUAAGAGUGAAUCUUUAUACUGGCCAUGUCUAAUUAACUAUAUUUUAUUAAUCAGCAACACAUAUUCCAUUGGUCCAAAGGCUGCCUGUGUGAUUACCAGACUUCUCUUUACUCAGCUACAAAGCUGCUAUAAAGUUCAAUAAAAUACUUCUCAAUUUAUGAAGCUCUAUAAAAGAUAAAAUGUAUUUUCCUGCAAACUAAGUUAAAGAAGGGGUUUGCAAAGUGAAAUUAGUGUUAAGAUGAAAUACAUGCUUUCAGUAUAGAAAUAGAAAUUAGUGUCAUCAAGUCACAGUCAAAUAUUACAAAUCAAGGCAAAACAACAAGAAUUACAAAAAAAACCCAUGAGGACCAUUAACUGAAAGGUAGCUUUGGAGCUACCAGCUAUUGUCACUAUGAUGUUUCAAAGGUGUAGUGAAAAGGGUGAUGAGUUACUGUAAUGAGGUAAAAGGUAAUCGUGAAUGACAAAAAUAAAAUAAAAUUUUCUCCUCAACAAAUUUAGGGCACUGUUCAAGUACCUAGAUUAGGGACUACUUUGUAAUGUGUGUUUACUCGGCCACGAAAGGCAUUCUCUCAGACCACAGUUUCAGCAUUAUAGUCUCAGCCAUCGCUGGCUGGACUUUCGAUGAUGCCUUUAAGUGGCCUGGACUACUUAAGAAGUGGUGCAUGAUUGACCCAAGCACUGCUGCAAUCGGGUGGGCUUGAAUCAGCCAGGAAAACCUGAGCUUUGCCACUCUUCAGUGAGCCUUGUGAUUUGCCUCGGUGCCUCAAAUUGUCAUCAGCAAGAGCAGCAUCGCAAUCAGUGUAAAACCUCCAAAGUACACUGUAUGCUGUAGGGCAAGCAAUAUGAAAAAUGGCAGGUGUCUCUGAAUGCACAGUUCUCAGUCCACAUCCCUCCAACAUGGGUUAGAAGGUCUGGAAAAGCCAACCUGAUUACUAACUGGUAGUUUUAAAUUGGGUGGUACAUAAAAUAACAACAGGUAAUUUCCAAAUUAAAACUAAAGUUACAGUUUUGGACGGGUAACUGGGUACCCAAUCUAGCAACACAUCUUCAGCCAGUGCACCAGCCUGCCUCUGCUUUUCAGGUUAUGCCAACUUCAGUACUUGUGUAUAUAUAAUAUAGCUUAUUUUUUAAUUCUGUUAUCAGCCUUCUUUAUAGACCUACAAUAAAAAACUAAAAAGUAAUAAAAGAAAAGAUAGUUAAUAUAUUUCACUGAGUUUAAGAGGAGACUAUGAAAUAAUUUAUCAAAAAAAACAUUAAUAGAGAAAAUGAUUUUAUUUCUUGUAUAUUGAUGCGCCAAUGUUUAAAUGAUUUUAUAUUUAUGGUGGUGAUUGAUUUUCUUUGUUCUUCUUCCUUUUUUUUAAACAAAGCUGGGAUAAAUGCUGUUACCUUGUUCUUAUUUUGUUUCCUUCACUCACGAAUGAUUGCAGAGGACAAUUGCAGUGGAUUCCCUUUUAAAAUCCUGUCUGUUUAAGGGGUUUGGUAUUCUGUAUCUGGUCUGGCAAUGAUUCAGAAAGUACAAAUAACAGAGAAAGGAAAAAAAGAAAUGUACGGAGAAAAUAUAAAGAUGAACUGACAGAAUUUUAAAAACAAUGUAUCUGCUGUGAAUGAGAGAUCAAGCAUAAAACAACAAUGUAACACUUGAAAAUUUGAUACUCUUCCAGGGCUGUUCAAAGUUUUUUUAAUUAUGAAAAAAAGGCUCAUGUGGAUUUAAAAUUAUGCAUUGAGUUUAAAUUAUGACUUCAGUAAGGUUAGUACAGUGGCCAUGCUGUAUGAGUCACAUUUUGCUAUUUGCCUUAUCAAGCUUUCUUCUGUGUACCUUAAUAGCUAUUGGAUUUGAAUCCAAGUCCAAACAUUAGCAACAUAUGUUAUGAAGGAUGGACAAUGGAUUUUGACUCUUGUUUUUUAGAAUGUUUUUUUAUUUGUAACCCAUUAUUGUUUUUAUAAACAUCGUCAUUUUUAUCCAUCCCAAGAAUUAAUGUGCUUUGCUGAUGUGGCCUCCACAGCUAUUCACCCAACUUGAAGUAAAUACAAAACAAAAAAUGAGGUCAGCCUUAAAUCCACAGCAUCAUCAUGUUUGUCAUCAUCUUCUUUAAAUAUAUAUUAUGUAUUUACUUAAGAAAGAUGAAUCAGAGUCUCAAUACAUAAACAUCACAUUAACUUCAAGUUUGGAUACACAAUGAUAUUCCUUUGACAGCACAGUGUGUACAAGAAUAUUAUUUUGUUUUUGAAUAAACUGCUGUCAAUUUAUGCAAGGAUUUCAAAAGUCAGUCUUUGCUUCAGUCAGGUGAAAGGCAUAAAAAAGGAACUAUAUUGUCCCCUUGUCACAGUUUUAUGGACCAAAUGUUAUUAUACGUUGCUCAGGUAUUUAAAAAUAGCUGAGCAGCAUUGUAAAAAUGUGACAUUAAUCCUUAGCAUGUCGUUGCCUCAAAACAAAAAGCAAACAUGAUGAAAAAAAUGAAAAGAACUUAUUAAAAUGCCAAGUCAGCAUUCACAGCAGAAGCAGAUGUGAAGAGGCAAUCCCAGCUUUGUUUUUAACUUGUAUGAAACUGUCUUAAAUUAAGGAAUUAUUUAUCUUGUAUUUAUUUACUUUUUGAGUUAAAUUAUAUUGAAAUAUACUUUUUUAUUUCCUGGAGAAAAAAAAAACAUUUUUUAAUUUUAUUUUCCUGAAACAGAGAUGUAAUUUGAACUAGUGUUGGUAAAGGCCUGUUUUACCCUCUGAUUUGGAAAGAUUUUUCCUGUAGUGUUCCUGAACUGUAGUUCUCUAGUUAAUUAUAUUCUGCUUAGACUAAAAUAAAGCACAGUCCUGUAGAAUACUGA